rnacentral:lncRNA from 1 species
CACGUUUUCUCUCCUUAAAAAAAAAAACUACAAAUGGGUGAUACAUGCAUCUUUGAACUACUGAACAAAUCAUCAAUCAUCUUUACAAAUGCAAACAACAACAAAACUAUAAACACUACUAAUUGGAUCAAAAAGACUCUAAACAUACCCAAAGCAAACUCUUUUAAGCCUCAUUAAAUAUAAAAAACAAUGAUAAAAAAAUUUAAGUUUCUCAAGUAGAUAAGGGUAAAGAAAGAAAGAUCUAGCUAACUUUUACACAGUCAACAACAACAAAUAAGAAAAACAUAUAUACAUAAAAUAAAGCCGAAGAAAACAAGAAAUAAAUUCACAAGAAAGCAAAUAUCCAACAAAACAUAAACUUCAUAGCCAUAUUCAAGAAAAAAAAAUAAAACUCCAGUUAAAUUGUCACGUAUAUACAGAAAUAAGAACAUACCUCACAUCUAGGUAGAGGAAGAUGAGCGAAAGAUACAAGCAAAAAAGGGAAAUACAAGCAAAAAUAAUAAUAAUAAUAAUAAAAUUACAAGAAUAUACCCAAAAAUAAUCGUCACGAAUUCUAUGGUUUUCUUACCUAUGAUUGAGAUGAGAACUGCG